ACCGCGGUCAUACGAUUAACCCAAGCUAACAGGAGUACGGCGUAAAACGUGUUAAAGCACCACACCAAAUAGGGUUAAAUUCUAACCAAGCUGUAAAAAGCCAUGAUUAAAAUAAAAAUAAAUGACGAAAGUGACCCUACAGUAGCCGACGCACUAUAGCUAAGACCCAAUUCUGGGAUUAGAUACCCCACUAUGCUUAGCCCUAAGACACAGAUAAUUACAUAAACAAAAUUAUCCGCCAGAUUUCAAAG
rnacentral:rRNA from 1 species